rnacentral:rRNA from 1 species
GGGUUUCGGCUCGUAAAGCUCUGUUGGUAGUGAAGAAAGAUAGAGGUAGUAACUGGCCUUUAUUUGACGGUAAUUACUUAGAAAGUCACGGCUAACUACGUGCCAGCAGCCGCGGUAAUACGUAGGUGGCAAGCGUUGUCCGGAUUUAUUGGGCGUAAAGCGAGUGCAGGCGGUUCAAUAAGUCUGAUGUGAAAGCCUUCGGCUCAACCGGAGAAUUGCAUCAGAAACUGUUGAACUUGAGUGCAGAAGAGGAGAGUGGAACUCCAUGUGUAGCGGUGGAAUGCGUAGAUAUAUGGAAGAACACCAGUGGCGAAGGCGGCUCUCUGGUCUGCAACUGACGCUGAGGCUCGAAAGCAUGGGUAGCGAACAGGAUUAGAUACCCUGGUAGUCCAUGCCGUAAACGAUGAGUGCUAAGUGUUGGGAGGUUUCCGCCUCUCAGUGCU